rnacentral:lncRNA from 1 species
CUUGUCCUCCUCACAGUGUGUGAGAUAGGGGUGUGGCUCCGAUUGUUCAGUGCCCUGCUGCUCAAACCUCUAUGGGAGCAUACAGACGGGCCAGUUGUGGGGCUCUGACCCCCUGGCAUUGUCUAGGGGUGAAUGUUUACAGCUCCUGAAGCCCCACUGGGAGUGUGCUACAGGGUGCUCUGUUAGUUUGCUGUCUAUAGGCAGCUUGUGUUAACCAGCUCAAUUAGACCCUCUACCUGGUCGCAAAGACAGAUGGCUUUCUGUAUCCUGGGUUCUUGCCUUGGUGUACCGGAAGAAUCAGAUCACACAUGGGAGAAUGAGUGCGAAGUUUUAUCCAGUGGAAGCAGCUCUCCGCCAAUGGAGGAGCCAGAAGGGAGAUGGUUUUCCCCUGGCCUUGCGGUGCUCAGAAGCCCUGGCUCUUCUCCAACUGCCCCGGCCAAACUCUGCUUCAUCCUGCUGGUCGAUGGCCUGCUGGGUCAAUGGCCUGCUGGCCUGCCAGUGCCUGUCGGUGUGCUUUCCUGCCAGUGUGCUCCUCUGGAAGCCCUCUGACUACCAGCCGCUUGUCUCUUCUUCCGCAGUUGAGAAAUAGACGGUCCACAGCGGACAACUUAGAAUGGAAUAAGGGAGAUGUGUUUGAGGCACUACCAUUGGAAGAUGUGCUGGGGAGAAGCCCAGCCCAGCAACAUGCGGCAGGACCACAUCUCGGCAGAGCUGCCACAAACAGAGUGAAUGCAGAGCCAUCAAGAGGACAUGGUGAGAAGACAGCCAUCUGCAAGCCAGAAAGAGCGCUAACCAGAA